AGCGAACGCUGGCGGCAGGCCUAACACAUGCAAGUCGAACGAACCUUUCGGGGUUAGUGGCGGACGGGUGCGUAACACGUGGGAACGUGCCCUUAGGUUCGGAAUAACUGAGGGAAACUUGUGCUAAUACCGAAUGUGCCCUUCGGGGGAAAGAUUUAUCGCUUCUAGAGCGGCCCGCGUCUGAUUAGCUAGUUGGGUGAGGUAAUGGCUCACCAAGGCGACGAGCAGUAGCUGGUCUGAGCGGAUGAUCCGCCACAUUGGGACUGAGACACGGCCCACACUCCUACGGAAGGCAGCAGUGGGGAAUCUUGUGGAAUGGGCGAAAGCCUGACACAGCCAUGCCGCGUGAAAGAUGCAGGUCUUAGGAUUGUAAAAUUGUUUCGGCGGAGGCGAGAAUGACGGUACCCGGAGAAGAAGCCCCGGCUAACUUCGUG
rnacentral:rRNA from 1 species